UACGUAGGGGGCAAGCGUUGUCCGGAAUCAUUGGGCGUAAAGCGCGUGUAGGCGGCUUGGUAAGUCCGUCGGUGAAAGACCGGGGCUCAACCCCGUGUCAGCCAUGGAUACUGGAGGGCUGGAGACAGGUAGAGGCAAGCGGAAUUCCGGGUGUAGCGGUGGAAUGCGUAGAGAUCCGGAAGAACACCGGAGGCGAAGGCGGCUUGCUGGACCUGGUCUGACGCUGAGGCGCGAAAGCGUGGGGAGCGAACAGG
rnacentral:rRNA from 1 species